rnacentral:lncRNA from 1 species
GCCUCCCAGAGUGCUAUUAUUACAGGCGUGAGCCACUGCACCCAGCCUCCUUCUUAUGACUCUUAAUGUCCUAUAAGCCAUUUUUAAAAGUAGCAGAUACCUGAGCCCUCUCAAUUAUCCCCAGUUCUUACUCGUAAAGAACUCUGUGACCCAAAGUCAUUUUUUAAAAGUACCACUAAUAUUGGGAUGUGCAGUCAAACCUGCUGUAUUCUGGACCUUCCCUGCCCUGUGAGAGCUCUACAUGCAAGACCCAAGUAAGGCUGUCAGCUCAUGUGCAGUGGCAUAAAAACUACCAUGUGAUACUGUUUCAUGCUGUGGCCAAUGCAUUUCUAUCAAUGAUGCAUCACUGGCUUGACAGCAAUGUUACUGUUGUAUACUAGGGGCAGGUAAAUUUUUCUAGCAGAAAUGGUAUUUGGACCAGAAGUUUUUAUAUGAAGAAUUUGAUUAAAGAAAUAUUAUUAAGUAGCCCUUCUUUCUAAAUAUACUUUCAUGCUAAAACAAAAUAACUCAGAAAAUAUGAAAACAGAACUCUAGAACUCUUUGAAGUUAGCAAGUAAAGCAUACAUACAUGGUGUCUUAGUAACUGUUUCCAUUAUGCAGAUUCUAAGAAUCUUUCCUGGACAAGACUAAAGAAUUCCCAGUGGCAAACCAUGAUCUGCUGCUCAGCUCAAAUUGUGGGUCCCAGAGCAGCCAUAUGUGAUAGUUACUUGUAAUUAAGGACUUCAUCUAAACUUGAAGAUAAGCUUUCCUUGCUGAAAUUAGAUAUUACUUCCUAUUUAACUUAUUUAGAUAAAUUAUUUUUAUUUUAUAAAUAGAAUACAUACUUUAAUAGUUUAGUAGAAUAUCUCUUAAUUUUGUAGCUCCUUCAGUCAAUACCUUUGCAUUCCUAUUUUAUAUUGCAUUAUAUUAAUAGUUACUGGUCAACAUUAUGUAAUGAUGUUCCUGAGUCCUUUAGUGUCUUUGCCUUACUUACUUGAUUCUCCUUGUUUGCAGUAGACUGUUGCUGUUUUCCUGUAAUGCGUUGUUCUUCUCCUGUUUAUUUAUACUAUCUAGCAAGGCCAUGGAGGAAUUUGGUAGACAUUUGUUAAUGAGUAGCUAGCCAUCCUGAGUUAAUAGACAAUGAUAUGAAUUGAUGGACUCAUUGAGAAGGUGCCAUAUUGUAUCAUUUCUGAUUACAAAUAAACCAAAAAAUUGAACUAAGAGUACAUAAUAGGUUAACAUUUCAUGUAGCUAAAUUAAGAGAGGCCAAAAUAUCAAAGGGAAAGUUGAAAGUCACAAGGAACCACCCUGGGUCUUAGCUCCAUCAACUGUGUCUCAUGGGAUGGCAGGUAAAUUAGUUAUUGUUCUUAACAGCCUAGAUUCUUUACUUGAGAAGACAGGGAUAAUAAAAAUCAGGAUAACAUCUGAUCUUCAGGGCGCUGUGAGGGUAAUAAUGUUAGGCAAGUAUCCAGAGAGUGCCUGGCACAAAACAGCCACGCAGGUGCUGCCUGUUGCUUCCUUCCUGAUGGAGGGUUAUUGAUAAACAUCGUGCAUAAUAAGAUUUCCAAGUAAGCCUGUUUCCUCUCAAUUAUUAAUGAUUACCUGGAGUUCUGUUAAGGAGAAUCAGAGAUCUCUGGACAUGAGUUUGGGUCAUAAGAAAGCGGUGGUGAGCUGUGGCUGGCAAGCCUGUGCUCACAGGGAGGAUGUGUGAGUUCAAUGCUAGCUUCUCUUGGGGCAGACGUAAGGCAUUUGAGCUCAGUCUUUCUUUGAGCUCGACUGUAUCGCUUGAUUUAGGUUUGCUGUUCUGGUUUUUAAAAUUUAGUAAUAGAGAAGAGAGUACAUAAGUAGAAGACCAAAACUGUAUUGUUACCAGAGUUCCAACCGCUGCUGACUUUUCUGGCUCUACAAAAGAGGGUCAAUGAGAUAUAUCUCCAUGAGAGGCAACAUCCAAAUCAUCUGCCAGGUGAUCCCACCUUGUCACAAAGGAUUGUGACUGACAGCAGAAAGAAAGCAGGCAUGAGAAAACGAGAUGCAGUCAAGAGCUGACGAUCACAUCAAAAAGGAAAGAAAGAUGUUCUAUACAUUCAGUGAGAAGUCAGCCUGUGUUUGCAUAAGCAUUUCUGUCACUGCCAACCCAGCUCUGAUGACAGAGUGUGAGCUUCUGUGCUGCUGGUACCUUUGGGAUUCGUGCUGACUCGUGACAAGCCUAGGAGGGCCACAGAAAGAAGGAUGUAAGGAUGUAAGAAGGAUGACCUUCCAUGUCUUCAAGAAUAGUUGCGUUUUAAGAAACAAUGAGACUUCCAUGUCCUGAUGGCAGUCGAUGUAGAAAUUCCUGGCAUUUGGCAACAGCAUGGAAUCACAUUCUGUAGUAAUACAAAGAGUCUGGCUUCUGGCUUCUCAGGUAGAUUCAACAAUGUCAGCUCUCCUGGUAACUGCUCUAAAAAUACAUUUUAGAGUCAUAAGAAGCCCGGUUUUGACCCCUCACUCUCUUACCUGUGUAGACACCCAGAUAUGCUCCAUGCACUCUUGGGUGUGAGAGUGAUUCCCUGUUCUCCCAACCCUUCCCCAGCCACGCCCUUUGUGCUGCUCCGCAAUGCUUGGCUCGGGAGGAAACUGUAUUUCCCAGAUGCCCUUGCCAGCGAGUUCCUGUGACAUCUGCUCAGUGGAUCCAAAGGCAGGUCAGGGGAAAGGCGCUGUCAUUUUCUCUUUUCUACCCUUCCCUCUCUCCUGCUUCUGGAAGUGUCUGUGAUCCCUUCUCCAUGCCACUCCUCCGUGACUGGGAGGCAGUGCCUUGGUGGUUUCUACCCACUCAGUCGGCCCAUCCUCAGGGGUCCUGGCAUGCACUCAGCACUCAGAAGUUCUGAUAAAGUACUUUCUUGAGUUUCCUGAGUCCUGGGGGCAGUAGCUGUUUCCUACAGUUUACCAGGUGAUCUAAUCUCAUUCUAUCCCUUUUUUCUUUCUUUUUUUCUCUUUCUGCUCUGCUAACAUUUUGUAACAGAUUUCUUAUAUUCAGUGCACUCUUAAGAAGUACCUAAUACAUCUUGUAUGUGGUGGGAUUAAUAGUACUUUAAAUAGUACACACAACCUGCCUGUAAAAGGCCUGAAAAGAGCUGUGAAAUAAUUUAUACUCCUUUUCUUAUUGAGUCCACAUUUAGGAAUCUAUCCUGUGAAUGAAAUCAGAGAUGGUCCUGGAGAUUUUAUGAGCAUGGGUUUUCAUUGGUGGGUUAAUUUUUAAUAACAGAAAAAGGAAUUACUUGUAGAACAAUAGGAACCAUUAAAAUACACUCAUACAAAUUACAAUACACAUACACAUUAAGAUACUGUACCAUUAUUAAAAAUCACAUUUUCAAAAGAAAAUGUUCAUAGCAUAAGCGAAAAAACAGUGUAUUAGCCUGUCCUCACACUGCUCUAAAGGACUGCCCAAAACUGUGUAAUUAAUAAAGGAAAGAGGUUUAAUUGACUCACAGUUCUGCAUGGCUGGAGAGGCCUCAGUGAACUUACAAUCAUGGUGGAAGGGGAAGCAAACAUGUCCUUCAUCACAUGAUGGCAGCAAGGAGAACUGCCGAGCAAAAGGGGAAAAAGUCCCUGAUAAAACCAUCAGCUCCCCUGAGAACUCAUUCACAUCAUGAGAACAGCAGGCAUGGGGGUAACUGGCCUCAGGAUUCAACUACCUCCCACCGGGUCCCUCCCGUAACACAUGGGGAUUAUGGGAACUACAAUUCGAGAUGAGAUUUGGGUAGGGACACAGCCAAACCAUAUCAAACUGUAUACAAAAGAGUAUGAGGGAAUGUUGUAUAAGGGAAUAAACAUUUUAAUUUUUUAAAAUUUAUUUUAUUUUGAGAUGGA